rnacentral:rRNA from 1 species
UUUAACACGGUUCCGAGGGACCUGCGGAAGGAUCAUUAANGAGUUGCGUGGAAAUCUCCCGCAAACCUCAACCCUGUUGUUGUUAUAACUACCUUGUUGCUUUGGCGUGGACCGUCCGGUUCGCCGGACUGCCAGGGCCCUUAGGGGCCGCGGUAAGCGCCCGCCAGAGUCNAACCAAACUCUNGUUUUUAACCGGUCGUCUGAGUACAAGUUUAAAUUAAAUUAAAACUUUCAACAAAGGAUCUCUUGGUUCUCGCAUCGAUGAAGAACGCAGCGAAAUGCGAUAAGUAAUGUGAAUUGCAGAAUUCAGUGAAUCAUNGAAUCUUUGAACGCACAUUGCGCCCNUUGGUAUUCNGAGGGGCAUGCCUGUUCGAGCGUCAUUACACCAUUCAAGCUNNGCUUGGUAUUAGGCAUUCGUCCUCCUNCACGGUGGGCGGGCCUCAAAAAUCUCGGCGGAGCCUUUCCAGCUUUGGGCGUAGUAGAAUUUCUAAUCACGUCUUUAAACGGAGAGGUUUCCACUGCCGCUNAACCUUUUAUUUUUCAGGUUGACCUCGGAUCACGUAGGGAUACCCGCUGAACUUAAGCAUAUCAAAACCCGGAGGAAUUUAUUUGGGUGACCUCAGAUCAGGUAGGGAUACCCGCUGAACUUAAGCAUAUCAUAG